rnacentral:tRNA from 1 species
GGCGCUGUGGCUGAGUGGUUUUAGCGGUUGGCUUUCGAACCUGUGGUCCUGGGUUCGAAUCUCGGCGGUGAUU